AGACUGAAGACGCAGGGAGACCGAUUGCUCAGGAGGCAAAAGGCGAUUUAUUAAAGGACUCCAGAGUUUUUAUAGUGUUUCAAAACAAAGAGCAGUACAAGUCACUUCAGGACACUUUUUGUGCAUGCAGCCAAGAACCUGGGACUGCAGUGGAUUAACUGUGUUGGAUUGGUGGGAGACUCAGUAACACCUUACCCAAAAGAAGACCUCAUGCGGCUCCAGUCAGUGUGGUCAUCGCCUCACAUUCCCAAAGGAUUCUCAAGGAACCUCUGAGCGCUGUCCAGGUCCUGAUUUGGUGCACAUGCUUCGGUCUGUCGUUUCCCGAUUCCAAUCAGCAGGUGCACGGCAGGGGUAGAGUCCUUGGUCAUAUACUGUCUGCAAAGAGAGGGAUUCAACUUGGCUAAACAUCUGCUUCCAAGAAGAAAAGAGAAAGGGGGAAGACCCUCUCUAGAGAAGGAAGCAGGUACCACCCACACAGGGAGACUCAUAGUGCCCAUCCUGAGCACGAUAAUUUGCGGUCUGGCCCCAAACUUUGUCUCCAUGUCUCUCCAUCCCGGCAGUCCCCUGGGCCUGUUCUGCAUUUAGUCUAUAACAAGACAGCUCAUGGUUCUCCCUGCUGCUUCCCCUGAACAUUUAAUUUUAUUUUUAGCUUAUCACAUAAAAAUAGACCUUUGGGAUCAUUUGCAGCAACAUGGCUGGAACUGAAGGACAACACGCGGGGCAGAGAUGGACAGUCACAAGCUGUCACUAUUUACCGUGGUGAGUGUGCAGCAGGGGUCGCUGCAAGAUGCAGCAGAGGCUGGAAACUAAACUCAGAUGGGCAGUUAGCUCUAAUGCAGAGCACAGUACAGCCGCAGUGUUCAGUGAUUAACCAGAGCACAGUACAGCCGCAGUGUUCGGUGAUUAACCACGCAUCUCACAAUGACUAGAGCACGGUUCCAAUGUCCCCAGCAUGUAGAAUAGUAAGGAUUGAGAACAUAGAAAUGGUAAUGACCUUGAUAUGAUCAUUUUACCCUGCACACAUGCACUGAAUUGUAAUACCAUAUCCCGUAAAUAAGUGUGGAUACUAUAUAGCGAUUAAAACUUUUAAGUUAAAAAACAAGUACCUUUAAUUUUAAUAACAAUGUCUGUAUGGCAACAUAGCCCAGAUACCGGGGAAGCACAGGGCUUUGCAGAGCUCACUGCUCUUCAGAUCUUUACUUACUGGGUCAUCUGUGAAUCAAGUGAAAGCGAAAGGUUUUUAGAAUCGGAGCGCUGGAUGCCCUAUUUCCCUAUUUCCUCGCCGCGGUGCGGAGCUGGAGGGGCGGAAAGGUUGCUCGUAGAGGCCUCGGAGCAGGCGGUAUUCCCGCCGGCGUCCAGCAGGGUGCGCUAAGCGGCCAGGGAGCGGAGGCGGGGAGCUGUGCGCCCCCUGUGAGCCGGGAGAUCCACGCGGAUGCCUCCGGAGCUCAGAGGACAGAGCGGAUGGAUCAAGAGGCCAGGGGAGGCCGCCUGACACUCUCGGCUCAGGCACUUCUGGGAUGGCAUCAGAAGUCCCCACUCAACCUGAGAACCUGGAUGGACACGUAUUCUGCAAAGACCCACAUGCUCAGCCCUUAAUCAUGCUGAAAUAAUUGCCUUUAAUGCUUUGCUUCUUUACCGCAGCAGCCUAGUGCACGCCCAGGAGGGACGCUCUGCAGAGCUCUCGGAAAAAGCUGCACUCUGGCUUCAUUUCACCAAGUGUCUGGGAUAAGGCGAGGCUCGCAAGGACGGGAAACGUCACAGCACCCGCUUCCUGGCGCUGGUUAUCACCCAAAGGGGCCUCAGACCUGAGUCUUUAGUAGCGAGCAUACAGAGUCACUGUCCAGAGCCAACUCUGCGGUCUCAGGAGCCACUAAGUCCCGUGCAUGCACGGAAGCUCUGCUCCUGCCCACCUCACCCACCCGCCUGCUGCCCAGAUAAUACUGAGGGUCCCAUGUGAGGAACCCAGAGACUCUACUUGCCUUGUACAGCAGCUACCAGGGGCUACUGACCAACUGCUGGGGCUCCAGAGCCUGCGGGUGGGGCAGCCCCCCUAACUCGCUCAGCUAGUGGCUCUCAGCCUGCUCCACGCUGGCACCAGCAGGGCCCGAGAGGGGCGUGCACUGCUCAUACUGAACACACGCAGGCCAGAGAGCAGGGGCGUGCACUGCUCACGCUGAAGACACACCGAGGGAUUGCGGUAGGAGCGGUGUCUUGGCGCGGUCACCUGCCAAUGAUGCCUGACACGGUCUCCCAUCCCAAAGGUAGAGUAAAGGCACCUUUAUCAGACAAUGCAAAGCAAUCACUGAGAAAUUCCGUGACGCUGAAAUAUACAGUGUAGAAGCGACAGUCCACACAUCGAUAAAACCUAUACGUCAUUUAAUUAGAUCAGUGCUUGAGAGAAGACCCAAGCAAGACCUAGCUAAUCUCUGUGUCUUGGCUUUACGGCUUUGGUUCAUAAGAAACAGGGAAAAAGUCACAAGGGAGCAGUUUGGAGCACUUUAUUUAUUUCCUCACGGGAGGGAAAUGCACCGCCGUCACAGCUGGAUGGCUGCAUAUGCCCACAGCUGUUUGUGGGUUUGAAUUUAUUCCACUGAUCUAUUUUCCCAGUCCUCUGUCAAUACCACUAUGUUUUCACUAUUCUUACUUAUUUCAACUUGCUUAUUUUUUGUUUAACAAGUACAUACCAGCAUAUGCCAAACUUUAUCCUUAGUGAUUUACAGCUGUGGAGUCAUCUGGUCUUCAGCUCUAGGAAGUGGUCUUGUUACUGAAUCUGUCUUCCAGAUUAGGAAGUCAAAGGCUGGGGGUUUAGUUCUGGCAUAAGCACUGCCCGGCAAGCACAAGGUUGUGAAUUCAAUCCCUGGUACUGCCAAAAAAAAAAAAAAAAAAAAAGGAAAUCAAACCACUCACAGGAGUGACAUGAAUUCCAGAUUCCCAAAAUGCCAAAGGCCUCAUUUUGUUUGUUUGUUUUUCAUGGUAACUCUUUUUUUUUUUUUUUAAAUUUUUUUUUUUUAAAUUUUAUUUAAGGAGAAAAGAAAAAAAAGCAGAGAAAGGGUACAAGUUAUACAGAUUUGCAGAAAAAAAAAUGAACAGUAGGAAAUUACUAGUUAAUGGAUUACAUAUUGUCAUCUUAGAAAUAAUUGUUCAAGUCACAAAAUUAAAGCUUGUAAAGUGGACAUUCCAUCAAUGAUACUGCAAACAGUUCUGUUCAAUGAUCCAAUAAAACUCUGUGAUAUCA